rnacentral:rRNA from 1 species
AUUGAACGCUGGCGGCAUGCUUUACACAUGCAAGUCGAACGGCAGCGCGGGCUUCGGCCUGGCGGCGAGUGGCGAACGGGUGAGUAAUACAUCGGGACGUGCCCAGUAGUGGGGGAUAGCUCGGCGAAAGCCGGAUUAAUACCGCAUACGACCUGAGGGUGAAAGCGGGGGAUCUUCGGACCUCGCGCUCUUGGAGCGGCCGAUGGCAGAUUAGCUAGUUGGUGGGGUAAAGGCCUACCAAGGCGACGAUCUGUAGCUGGUCUGAGAGGACGACCAGCCACACUGGGACUGAGACACGGCCCAGACUCCUACGGGAGGCAGCAGUGGGGAAUUUUGGACAAUGGGCGAAAGCCUGAUCCAGCAAUGCCGCGUGUGUGAUGAAGGCCUUCGGGUUGUAAAGCACUUUUGGCGGGAACGAAAAGGACUGUGCCAAUACCACGGUUCGAUGACGGUACCCGCAGAAUAAGCACCGGCUAACUACGUG